rnacentral:tRNA from 1 species
AAAGAUAGCACGUAAAAGCUGAGAUGAACCAAAAGGGUUCUCUAAACA